UACAGAGGUCCCAAGCGUUGUUCGGAUUCACUGGGCGUAAAGGGUGCGUAGGCGGUCGGGUAAGUCUGAUGUGAAAUCUCACAGCUUAACUGUGAAACUGCAUUGGAUACUAUCCGGCUCGAGGAAUGGAGGGGAGACUGGAAUACUUGGUGUAGCAGUGAAAUGCGCAGAUAUCAGGAGGAACACCGAUGGCGAAGGCAGCUCGCUGGGACGUGACUGACGCUGAGACGCGAAAGCGUGGGGAGCAAACAGG
rnacentral:rRNA from 1 species